rnacentral:rRNA from 1 species
UACGUAGGGAGCAAGCGUUGUCCGGAUUUAUUGGGCGUAAAGAGCUCGUAGGCGGCUUAGAAAGUCAGGUGUGAAAACUCUGGGCUUAACCCAGAGACGCCACUUGAUACUUCUAUGGCUUGAGUUCGGUAGGGGACCAUGGAAUUCCUGGUGUAGCGGUGAAAUGCGCAGAUAUCAGGAGGAACACCGAUGGCGAAGGCAGUGGUCUGGGCCGAUACUGACGCUGAGGUGCGAAAGCGUGGGGAGCAAACAGG